rnacentral:rRNA from 1 species
UACAGAGAUGGCAAGCGUUGUUCGGAAUCACUGGGCUUAAAGGGCGUGUAGGCGGGAGGAUGGGUGCCUUGUGAAAGCCCUCGGCUCAACCGAGGAACUGCUGGGCAAACCGACCUUCUUGAGGCAGGUAGAGGUCAUUGGAACCAUAGGUGGAGCGGUGAAAUGCGUAGAGAUCUAUGGGAACGCCGGUGGCGAAAGCGAGUGACUGGGCCUGUCCUGACGCUGAGACGCGAAAGCGUGGGUAGCAAACAGG